GAUAAUAGGAAAGAGCUCCUUCCUCUAUCUCAUCGUGGUAGGGAGGUAGGGUUGGAGAGGGCGCCGUCGCCGCCGCUGCUCGCGUGUGCUCCGCCCCUCCGCUUCGGCGAUGGCCAUCGACGGCCUUGCUGGGCCUCUGCUGGCGCUAGCCUCCCUCCUGGACCGCUGGACUCCGCGGCUCUGGACCUCGCCGACCUGAGCGAGCUCGGCGUUUCCUCCUCCACGCCAAGCCUUCGUCCGUCGACGGGGGCCGGCCGCCUCUUAUCCUCCGCCUUCUACCGGCGCUGGCCGCUGGGUCGUCGUGGCGUGGAGAUCCACCUAUCUGGACUCGGAUCGAUUCCUCCCUGCCGGUAAGUGACCCAAAUCUUGGCGCGUGCACUGUUUUUUCUUGCAAGUUUGGUCAUAGAACCAAAUCUUGACCCAAAUCAGAUUGUCCCCUUGACAGCCAAAGAAUCCCACAAUGCUAGUCUCUACUGCGCUAGUAUUCGCUUGGGCGUUCAGCCCUGUGCCAUGUAUCUGGUAUGUUUCUAAGUUUGUCUGAAUCCUGAGAUACGUCACAACAAAUGUUCCUUUGGUGUCACCAAUUGAUCCGGCGAAUUCCUUUGGUGCAAACUCGAUCUGCAUGGGGGAAAAGAAAAGAAAAGAAAAGAAAAGAAAAGAAAAGAAAAGGAAAACUAUAAUUGGUUAGUAUACCUCUGACGAGAUAGAACAAGCAUUGCAGCUUGCUUGUUGCAAGGUUCCGCUGAUGCCUAGAAAAAACAUUGAAAAACAGAAAAAACAUUGAAAAACAAUUGGCAACAUCCAUAAAGACAAUCCUUAUUGCAGAGUUUAGAGUUCACUUAUCGUAGUAAGUUCAUCAACCAUCUGUCCAUUUUGGUGGCUGAUUGGUUGUAUUUUGUAAUGCUAAAGGUACGAAAUUUUCAGGGCAGGGUAGCCAAUCAAAUUCAUCCAGUGCAGCAUAUUGCAGUUACUUUUAUCUCAAUAUGUUAUCAGAUAACUGAGGCCUGGCUAGCUCUAUGUUGUUAUCUUCUUGAGCCUUAUUUUAUGACUAGAGAUUUGUUAGUGGUUACCAACUGGUAGAAACAAAAUUCAUAAAUUCAGUUCAUAGAGUGGCCUCCAACGUCACCCGCCGGCGCUUCCCACCUGCGGCUGCAUCACGGCCUGAGGCGCCGGGUGGGCCACUCCGCUCCAUCCGUUCAAGAUUCACUGCCGCCGCCGCCGCUCAUCUCCAAGAUCCGCAUCCGGUGAAGGUGGGAGCUAGAUACUGGCCAGUCCAGCUGCAAGGUGACGCAGCACAAGACCUCCAUCCCUGAAUUCAGGACGCACUACUAGAGUGGACGGCAAACAGUUCUUUCGUCAGGCAAUGAGGACUUGAUCAUCUUGAAGAGCUUCGUCUUGCUGCCAAUUCUUUGAUUUCUCUUCCUGAUACCAUUGGACUGUUAUCCAAUCUGAAAGUUCUGAAUGUGUCAAGUAAUAGGCUCAGAGCACUGCCAGUAGCAUCUCCAAGUGUAGGUCACUGGUUGAGCUUGAUGUGAGCUACAAUGGGCUCAUUUACCUGCCAACAAAUAUUGGCUAUGAGAUGGUCAAUUUGGAGAAACUCUGGGUCCACAUGAACAAGCUGUCAAUUUGCUUGUUAGACGCUCUUGUUGCUCUGAUCAGGACAGGCAGCUUUUUGUAGAUGCUUGAGAAAUUUGUACACUUGGCAAUGAAAAGAUCACUGAAUUGCAAUCUUGGGUUGUUUUUCUUUUCAUUUCUGUCUCGUUCAAUUCUUAGUGUUUUUGUUUACAUCGAGCAUAUGAUUCUUACACUCGUAUUCUUCACUUGUGAUCUGUGAUUGAGGUUGUAUGGUUGAAGUGCACGACCAGCUCUUAAAAGAACAUCCGUGUUUCAGUUGC